rnacentral:rRNA from 1 species
UACGGAGGAUGCGAGCGUUAUCCGGAUUUAUUGGGUUUAAAGGGUGCGUAGGCGGGGAUGCAAGUUGGGUGUUAAAUCUACCGGCUCAACUGGUAGUCGCACUCAAAACUGCAGCUCUUGAGUGAAGUAGAGGCAGGCGGAAUUCCUAGUGUAGCGGUGAAAUGCGUAGAUAUUAGGAGGAACACCAGUGGCGAAGGCGGCUUACUGGACUGUAACUGACGUUGAGGCUCGAAAGCGUGGGGAGCAAACAGG